rnacentral:rRNA from 1 species
UGAAACCUGAUAUGACUUAGUGGCGGACGGGUGAGUAACACGUGAGCAACCUGCCUUUCAGAGGGGGAUAACGGCUGGAAACGGUCGCUAAUACCGCAUGACGUGUUCGGAUGGCAUCAUCUGAACAUCAAAGAUUUAUCGCUGAAAGAUGGGCUCGCGUCUGAUUAGCCAGUUGGCGGGGUAACGGCCCACCAAAGCGACGAUCAGUAGCCGGACUGAGAGGUUGAACGGCCACAUUGGGACUGAGAUACGGCCCAGACUCC